rnacentral:snRNA from 1 species
AUCACUUCUUAGCCUUUUGGCUAAGAUCUUGUGUAGUACCUGUUCUUAUUAAGUGUAAAAAACAUAUAAAAUUAAAUCAGUAGUCCAAAUUUUCAUUUCUAGACUUAAU